CAAAAGCAAAACAAAAAAUAUUUUAGGAUCAUUCUCCUUUCAUUUUUGAAACAUAAUUCUUUAUUCUCUAUAUCUCUUAGUGUAACCUAAAUGAUAUGCAUAUUUCCCCUUUCAAAACUACUAAUACUCCAAUCUUGUCAACUCGUGCUAUCCUCAUUCAAAUUCCACAUUUGUUUAUUUUAUUUAGAAAUCUUAUUCGUUCUUAAAUCUAGAACAACACACGAUUUGAUUCUCUUAAAAUUCGAGAUAUGUAGGCAAAUUAAAAUCAAAGUCUCGGCCACACCAUAUUGUUUCUUUCGAUUCUCACAAAUCAUCCUCUCGAUCGGAUAAAACUAGCUACUAUGUCAACAUUCUUUGCCCGACAAUUCAUCCUUCAUUCUCGAGUGACGAAGGGGCAGCUGUUAACACCUAAUUUUUACCUUCCUAUUUUCACCUUAGACCGCUAUUUUAUAAAUUACUAGUUUUGGCUAUAAAUAUUUCUUUACUUAUUAUUUUAGUAUCUAAUAAAUCCAUGACGUUUUACAUUCACGAUUUUUUUUUUUUUUGUAAAUAGUGGUUUGAUUUGUUG
rnacentral:lncRNA from 1 species